rnacentral:piRNA from 1 species
UCCCAUAGAGGCCUCAACUUUUCC